rnacentral:ncRNA from 2 species
AAAUAUAGCUAGGGGAGCUUUUGCUGAGAAGGUUAAGUCCUGACCCUUUGAACCUGAUGUGGUUAGUACCAUCGUAGGGAAGCUUUUCAUUUUAUAA